rnacentral:rRNA from 1 species
AAUAGGGGAGGCGUAGCGAAAGCGAGUCUGAACAGGGCGUUCAGUAGCUGGGCGUAGACCCGAAACCGGAUGAUCUAUCCAUGGCCAGGUUGAAGGUGCGGUAACACGCACUGGAGGACCGAACCCACUAGUGUUGCAAAACUAGGGGAUGAGCUGUGGAUAGGGGUGAAAGGCUAAACAAAUCCGGAGAUAGCUGGUUCUCCUCGAAAACUAUUUAGGUAGUGCCUCGUGUAUCACUCUCGGGGGUAGAGCACUGUAAUGGUUGGGGGGGUCAUCUAGACCUACCCCGCCAUAGCAAACUCCGAAUACCGAGAAGUGCGAGCACGGGAGACAGACGGUGGGUGCUAACGUCCAUCGUCAAGAGGGGAAACAACCCCAGACCCACAGCUAAGGUCCCAAAUGAUGUGCUGAGUGGAAAACGAAGUGGGAAGGCAUAGACAGCCAGGAAGUUGGCUUAGAAGCAGCCAUCCUUUAAAGAAAGCGUAAUAGCUCACUGGUCGAGUCGUCCUGCGCGGAAGAUGUAACGGGGC